GACAGAGGUGGCGAGCGUUGUUCGGAAUUACUGGGCUUAAAGGGCGAGUAGGCGGUAGAGCAAGUCUGAGGUGGAAUCCUAUGGCUUAACCAUAGAACUGCCUUGGAUACUGUUUCACUUGAGUCAGUGAGGGGAGGGCGGAAUUCCCGGUGUAGCGGUGAAAUGCGUAGAUAUCGGGAGGAAGGCCAGUGGCGAAGGCGGCCCUCUGGUGCUGAACUGACGCUGAGGCGCGAAAGCGUGGGGAGCAAACAGG
rnacentral:rRNA from 1 species